ensembl:misc_RNA Metazoa_SRP Metazoan signal recognition particle RNA
GCUGGGCGUGGCGGCUCACGCCUGUAAUCCCAGCACUUUGGGAGGCCGAGGUGGGAGGAUCACCUGAGGUCAGGAGUUCAAGACAAGUCUGGCCAACAUGGUGAAACCCCAUCUCUA